GCACAAGUGCUUUUGAAAUCUCAGCUUGUAUCAUAUUGUUAACAUUUUAUUGACCUGUACAAGUCAUGUGGCCAAACCCUAACUCAGUGUGUCAAGGAACUACACAAGCCAUGGAUCCAGGGAGACACCCUUACUGUAACAGCAGAUCACACAUGGGUGCUACAACAAUCCCUAUUCCCCCAGGGUCUGUCCUGCUGUCCUCUUAUUCAUUCUGCAGCACCACAGCUGGACAGUCCUUAAACACAAAUUCCCUAUCAGGUGGCAGUUUUAUUCCCUAUGGCACAUUUGGGAAUGUCUGGAGGCAUUUUUGGUUAAGAAGAAAGGAAUGUUGGAAUGUUACUAGUAUCCAGUAGGGAGAUGCUAGGGACGCUGCUUAAUACUCCAUGAUGCAUGGACCAGCUACUUCCUUCUCUGUAUGGUUUGAAUAUGAGGUAUCCCCCAAAGCUCAUCUAUGAGGCAAUGAAAUGUUUGGAGGAGAAAUUAUUGGGUUAUAUAGCCUUUACCUAAUCAGUGAAUUAAUCUCUGAUGGGAUUAAGUGGUGGCUGGAAGCAGGGGGGGUGUGGCUAAAGGAAGUGGUCAUUGGGGGUGUGGCUUUGGGGUAUAUAUUUGUAUCUAGCAAUUGGAAACCUCUCUCUUUUCUGCCUGAUCAUCAUAUGAGCUGCUUCCUUUGGCCACACUCUUUCUCCAUUAUGUCCUGCCUCACCUUGAGUCCCAAGGAAUGGAGCCAGUCACUUAUGGGCUGAGAUCUCUGAAACAUGAGCCUUUAAAUAAACUUUUCCUCCCCUACAGUUCUGUUCAGGUCCUUUAGUCACAGCAGUGAGAAAUAUGACUAAAACACUCUCUUUCACUCCAUUACAAAGAAUUAUCUGGCCAAAAUUGUUAGUAGUGUGGAGCUUGAGAUAGACUGCACCCUGGCUUAUAAACUUCAAAUGAUGCCACAGUAAAAAGAGAACCAAGGGUAACUCUUCAUAUUCAAAGCCCUCUCAAUCUAGUUCUUCUGUAGACAUCCAAGCAUAUCUCCCUUUAGCCACAUUUACUGAUUAAUUUAAUAGUUCCUUAUUAUCUGGACAAAACGUAAAUAUCAAGCAAAUUCUUCAGAUUUUUCCCUCUUCUUCCUAACCAAGAGAUUUCCCAGCUUCAGUAGAAUUGGAUCUUGUUUUUCCUACCAGGAUUCCCUCCAUUUGAUUGUGAUGUGUUACUUACAAAUACACUGAUUAGCAGUGUAUUUCAUUAUAUCAGCUUAAGUAACAGGCUUCAGGAAUGCUUUUGAAUAUCCUCAGCAAUACUCUCAGGGGAAAGUCAAUGUUAUAUAAUCAGUCUCUAAUUUUUUCAAGUAACAUAGGAAAUUGGAUCCCCUUCUUUUCUAUUUUAGCAUCUAGAAACAGCUAGCCAAGAACAGAGGAGCCUUUGAAAGUCAGUGAAUUGGUAGGAAAGGAGAGCUUGUCCAUGGUUGUUAUCAUGACUUUCAGAGAGAUCAGCUUGCUCUUUUACUGCCCAAGGAUCUUAAAAAUCAGAGAUAAUCUUGUUAGAGUGUGUUUCUCAAAGUAGUGAAAAGAUAUUCUUGGAAAG
rnacentral:lncRNA from 1 species